UUUGUGACAGCUUUAACGAUAUUUGCGC
rnacentral:sRNA from 1 species